rnacentral:lncRNA from 10 species
AAGUGAUCCACCCACCCUGGCCUCUCAUCAAAGUGCUAGGAUUACAGGCAUAAGCCACCGUGUCCUGCCACUGAAAUGUUUUUAAAAUGUGUCUAUUUCCUUACUCCAUUUAAAGGCAGAAGUUGGUCCACAGCAGAUAAGAUGGGAGAGAGACCUCAGCUCACUCAACUUCACAGGAACAUGGGCGUGAUGCUCGAGUGGCAUAGACUGCUUUACAGAUGCGAGGGUGAACACCAAUACGAAGUAUGGAAGAGCAGAAAACCAGGAGACAUCUGGGUCCCUGAGGCCACUAUGGAGCUGCACUAGUGGCAUUGGACUGCUCACCUCUAGACUUUUUAAGGUGAGAAAAAUAAAGCCAGUAAUUUGUUGUUUAAUCUGCUGUUUUUUGGAUCCUUUUUUUUUUUGCAGCUUAACAAUAUUUAUUAAGUGAUAAGCUCACAGGGUUGAGGAUCAAAAGAGAACCAUCUAUGUGAAGAGUAUAAAACAGUUCUUGACACACAGGAAGUGGCCAGUCAAUGAUAACUAUUAUUUUUGGGAGAUUAUCUGACUACCAGCAGAGAACAAAAAUCAAACAGAAUAAACAACUUGGGAAGGGAAGAAAAGGGCUGAACAGAAGUGAUGAUAGGGUGAUAAAAAAUUCAGAAUCAUAGAGCCAAACAAGGUACAUAAGUGGUCUGACAUAUAGUACAUAAUCAAUAUGUAUAAUUCCUUUUCCUAUCCUAUCUGUGAGAACACAAACUAAUGCCAUUUAGUCACGAGAACCUUGAUCAACAAGGAAGACCAGACUAACCAAGAAGAUUUUAGGACUCUGAGAAGUAAAGAUUGUAUUUAUAAGGUUAUUUAUAUUUGAGCGAGACAUUCCACUCAAUGUCUCUUUUAUUCCUGCUUAUGUAAUACUGUCAAGAUAUAAAUCAAAGAAAUACACAAAAGAGAUACUGAUAAACAAAAUGUCACUAAAAAAGAUGGCACAGAUUGGUCAGCCAUCUUAAUGACUCAUUAAUGGCUUAAUGACUCAUUAAGCCAUCUUAAUGACCUUAAUACUAGGUCCUAGAGGAAUAGAAAGUUGCUAAAUAGAAAAAUCUAUUUUGAAACCAAAUUGUUCAUAACAUUUGUCAAUCCACAGAAAUAAUACAAUAGAAUUUGAACAAAUGGGCAGAGAACUCAACAUAUUUAACUUCAGAAAUGCACCAGAAAAAAAAAAAAAAGUAUGGCUGGGCACAGUGGCUCAUGCCUGCAAUCCCAGCACUUUGGGAGGCCGAGGCAGGUGGAUCACGAGGUCAAGAGAUUAAGACCAUCCUGGCCAACACAGUGAAACCCCAUCUCUACUAAAAAUACAAAAAUUAGCUGGGCAUGGUGGCGCACGCCUGUAGUGCCAGCUACUUGGGAGGCUGAAGCAGGAGAAUUGCUUGAACCCGGGAGGCGGAGGUUGCAGUGAGUGAGAUUGUGCCAUUGCACUCCAGCCUGGCGACAGAGCGAGACUCCUUCUCGGAAAAAAAAAAAAAAGAAAAAAAAGUAUGAUGAAAAGAAAACAUGUGAAGAGCUGGAAAAGUAGGACCAGAUCAGAGAAUAAUGUUUACAAUAUGUGGGAAAGGAAAAAAAGUCGAUAUUUGUGGUCACCUUGAAAGGAAUUUAUGACAAUGUAGUACCUGAUUCCAAUUCAACAAAAGCUGGAGAGUUUAAAAAAACUAUGAAAAUACAGUCUUUCUUUUUUGUUUUUUUAAAAAAAGACUUAAAUACUAGACACUGAUAUGACCUAGAGAAGAGCAAUUGAUGAAGAAAAAUCUGUAAUGAUUAACAUGAAGUCACUGCUCAAUGUAAAUACCAAGGGAAGAUGAAGUAAAAAGAAAAGAACUGAAAGGCAACAAAUCACAGACUACAACUAUUGUAUUUUCAAAAUUGUAUUAGGUAUCACUACAUAAAGUAAAAACUCUUAA